rnacentral:rRNA from 1 species
UACAGAGGGUGCAAGCGUUGUUCGGAAUUAUUGGGCGUAAAGCGCGUGUAGGCGGCUUUGCAAGUCGGGUGUGAAAUCCCCAGGCUCAACCUGGGAACUGCACUCGAAACUGUUUAUCUUGAGUGCCGGAGAGGAAAGCGGAAUUCCUGGUGUAGAGGUGAAAUUCGUAGAUAUCAGGAGGAACACCAGUGGCGAAGGCGGCUUUCUGGACGGUAACUGACGCUGAGACGCGAAAGCGUGGGGAGCAAACAGG